GCCGGGUGCAGUGGCGCAUGCCUGUGGUCCCAGCUAUUCAGGAGGCUGAGGUGGGAGGAUCUCUUGAGCCCAGGAGUUCUAGGUUGUAGUGUGCUAUGCUGAUAGAGUGUCCACACUAAGUUUGGCAUCAAUAUGGUGACCUCCCGGGAGCGGGGGACUACCAGGUUGCCCAAGGAGGAGUGAACCAGCCCAGGUUGGAAACGGAGCAGGUCAAAACCUCCAUGCUGAUCAGCAGUAGGAUCACGCCUGUGAAUAGCCACUGCACUCCAGCCUGAGCAACAUAGCGAGACCGCGUCUCUU
rnacentral:SRP_RNA from 1 species